GGUUCAGUAGGUUGGUCGUGCCACCGGUACGUACUGGUCUCACUGAUUCCUCCUUCCUGAAGGACCGUAAUGCCAUUAAUUUGGUGUUGCGGGGAAACAGGACUGUUACUUUUAAAAAAUUAUAGUGUUUAAAGCAAGCUAACGCUUGAAUACAUUAGCAUGGAAUAAUGAAAUAGGACGAUCGAUCCUAUUUUGUUGGUUUCUAGGAUUGACGUA
rnacentral:rRNA from 1 species